AAAAUGCCCGUGGUCUCGAUCCUGUCUUGUGCGCUCCACCGUCGAAUAUCUGCCAAGAGAGUAAAAAGUUGUUUGAACGGUCCAAAGUUUCGUUUGGCUCUUUGAUCCGCGUUCGCGACCCAAGCGCUCCAUAGGGCAAGGAGCUGGGUCAUUCCGUUCUGGUUGCUCAUGAGCGCAUAGAGUCUCUUGGGGAUCGUCGCAUCGGUCGCGGGAUCACCAAAUCCGAACUCAGGCGGGACCUCCUCAAGAUCUCUCUCGGCUAACCAUUCGAGG
rnacentral:misc_RNA from 1 species